UACGGGGGGGGCAAGCGUUGUUCGGAAUUACUGGGCGUAAAGGGCGCGUAGGCGGUUUGCUAAGUUGAAUGUGAAAACUCUGGGCUUAACCCAGAGCCUGCAUUCAAUACUGGCAGGCUAGAGUUCUGGAGGGGAUAGCGGAAUUCCUGGUGUAGCGGUGAAAUGCGUAGAUAUCAGGAGGAACACCGGUGGCGAAGGCGGCUAUCUGGACAGAGUCUGACGCUGAGGCGCGAAAGUGUGGGGGAGCGAACAGG
rnacentral:rRNA from 1 species